rnacentral:snRNA from 1 species
UCAGUAGAAGAGUGGCAGUAUCAUAGCUAAUGAGGUUAAUCUGAGGUGUGAUUAUUGCUAGUUGAAAACUUUUCCUUUCAGCAAAGCGUUAAAACUAGUCAUGAAAUGUCUUUGCCGAA